ACAAGAUGGUGGUAACAGAUGAAAGGAGGGUCAUUACCCUUGUGGAUUCGCCGAAGAAUCAAGGCAGUAACUGUAAACUGUCAAAUUCAGCUGAUUUAUCCUGGGAAUUGAUGAAAGAGAAAUCCGGCUUUGGUAAAAUGAAUUUGCAUGAAGAUCUGGAACCUGAACAAAUGCUUGAAAUUGGUAUUGAAAUGAAGUGGGAAACAGACGAAUGCAGUACACAGAAGCAGAAGGCUGAAAAAAUUGCCGUUGGUGUGGAUGAAUUAAGAAUUGCUUCUCCUGAUAAGCCUCAAAAGUGUGAGAGAGCAUCACGGUCCCGAACUCCUGGUUUCCAGAAAUCUAAAACCUCCAAGUCAGGUUCAGUAUCAUCUUUGGGAAGCUCUCGUUCAUCCUCUGCCAGCUCUAGAUCAGAUUCGGUUUCAUCCUCUGCCAGCUCACGAUCUGGUUCGGUGUCAUCUUCGAGUAGCUCUCGAUCUGGUUCAGUAUCGUCGUCCAGUAGCUCUCGAUCCAAUUCAGUCUCGUCUUCCGGUAGCUCUCAGUCAGGUUCAAUAUCCUCUUCUGGCAGUUCCAGGUCAAGUUCGGUGUCCUCUUCAGGCAGUUCCUGUUCCGGUUCAGUGUCCUCAUUAGAAAGAUACAGGUCAAGUUCAAGAUACACCACUUUGGCUUCAAGGUCCAGAUAUGUAUCACAAGAGAAGAGAUACAGAAGAUCAAGGCGAACCCAUUCAAGGUCUCGGUCUCGAAGUUGGUCAAGGUCUUGUUACCGAAGAUCCAGAUAUCAAAUGUCUUAUCGGUCACCGCUCAGGUACAGAUCCAGAUCAAGGUCCAGCUUGAGGUAUGGAAGAUCCCGCUCAGGAUCAAGGUCAAGAUAUUCAUCCAGAUUUCCGAGGAACUAUGAUAGUUAUAUGUACAAAACCCAUUCAUCAGCACACAGAAGAAGUCGAAGCAGAUCAAGAGGAAGAUCUAUUCACUUGACACAAAAAGAUAAAAAGACAUUGCUAGAAAUAGCAAAGGCAAAUGCUGAUAAAUUAUUUGGAAAGGGCAGCGUCCAGUUGCCACCUAGCUUGAAGCCUACCAGUCCUCUUAAAGAUGAGAAUUUUAAUUUUGAGAAGCACAACAGUGAUGCGGCAAAAGAGGUGACCAGAAGGGGAGCUUGUGACCUCUAUCAAGCCAUCUACUUGUAGAAGUAAGGGGAGAAUGGAGAAGCUUGGUGUAUUUCUUCCCAGUCAAAAGUCAAGGCAGUGCUAUAUUUGGUACUUCAUUAUACUGCAUUGUCUCCUAAUUAGAUUUGUCACGAUACAUCUUAAUUCCAGCGCACUGAAUGGUAUUUAGUUUGCUUGAAUCUUGAUGGCAAUACAGGUGGCACUUAAACCAUUUAUCCAUAUCCACUCUGUAAGGCAGUCUACAGAAUACUUGAUGAAAUGUGCUGCCUCAAUGAUGUCAUAUAUAUAUGUAGUAUACAUAUAUAAGCCUAUUUAGCCCAGCUGAAAAUUGUAUAUGAGCCUCUUUCCAUUCAUCUACCUCAUUGUAGCCUUUUUGUGUAUUUUCUCUUUUUCUCAUUAUUUCUUUUGAAAGCUAUUUGACAUAGCCACUUGAGUGGUGCUAAAUUCCACAUUUUAACCACUGGAUAAUGACAUUUGUCCUUAGUAGCCAGUGGGUUUUAUUUGUAACUGUUUUGAAUUUGUGGGCUCUAACUUUUGGAUUCUCCUACAUGGAGACAAUCUCUGCAUCUCUGUCCAACUCAUCCAUAAUUUUAAAAGGCAUCUAUCAGGUUUCCCCUAAGCCUUUCUAUGCUGGAAAACACUAUCUUCAAUCUGUAUAAUCUUUUCCAGAAGCUAUAAUCUAUUAUUCUGGUAUCAUCUUUGUAAAUCAUCACAGACAGACAGAGAUGCACGCACUUCCCUAUCCUUUUUCUAAGAUGGAGACCAGUACUAUGCACUCAGCCCCAGCUUGUGUCCUGUAUAAAUCUGAUUGUUCUUGAAACAAAUCUGUUAUUAGCAUUUUAAUUGCUCUGACUUGAUUUUUAAUGACUUUCUGUGUAUUGAGAUUCUUCACUCUUCUACCCAUUGUUUCUUAUUUUCUGAGGUGUAGGUGAUGCUUCUAUUCCUAUCAUUCCCACCAAAGUGAAUUGCAGAUAUGCUAAAUUUAAUUUGCCAUUUACAUGUUUAGUUUCCAAUAUUACAUUGUGUUGGAUGUCACCUCUAGUAUGAUGUGUAUUUUUUAAUACUGAUUUAAUGUUUCCAGAUACAGAUCCUUGAUAUUAAUUAUGAAUGUAUUGUAGAACACUGCUUUCUAACAUCUUUAUUUGAUAACUCUGCAUUUACCUGCUAAUUCGCCUUCCAUUGUUACUUGUUUCCUUACUCCAUAUCGUCUAAUCUUUGAGACUCCCAAAUCAAACUUACUUUAGUUUACUUUUUGUGGAUGGGAAAGAGGCCAUUUGUUGUUUUUAAAUUACUUUUAAUGGAACUUAUAUGUUGAGGCUACUUUGAACAUGGCAAAUCAAGAAAUGCCAGUAUAAUGAGAAAAGGUUUUUGCAGUGAUUGAUUGUACCAGUAAUUGAGCAGUGUGUUGUGAGAAAGGUAGCUUCUGUUCACACUAAAUAUUGCUGACAACAGUUCAACACGUUUGAUGGUGGCUUUGAAACAUUUUUAGGCAACCCAUGUUAAUUAAAUGGUUCAUCCAGAUGACCCAUUAAUAACUAGCUAAGUAUAAAUUUAAGUACAAACAAACCAUUUUGUAUAGGCAAGAACCAGCCUUCAAUUUGUUGAUAUUCUGUUUUGAAAUGAUCUGCAAUUGUAAAAAGACCUGUUUGCAAAGGGAACAGCAGCAACCACCAUCUCUGUGGGAUUGAGCCAUGAAUAAAACACAUUUUGGCAACUUUUUUAAACGUUACCCUUACUUUGGCCUCUGAUCUAAGAGACCUAUAGUGUUUCAAACACUUUUUUCCCUUUAGCAUUUAAAGUGUCUGUUUAAAUUAUUGGCUUGAUGAGUUUAAACAGAGCUCAGACAGCCUAUCUUUAAUUGGAAUGUGUUUGCUUCUAUUUUGGCUUUGUUUCGAGCAGGAUUCUGCCCACAGUAGGCAUUGAAUUGACUGACUAAUGUUGGUUAUGUAAUGGUGGUGUGAGUGACAUUGUAUUACUUGAAGUUGAGGUAUGAUGCAUUAUUGGAUGCAGUAUGGAGGGAGCUUCACUCUGCAUGUUAAUGGUGCACUUGACCUUGGAGUGCUAGAUCUGAUGUUGGGUAAGAAGACCCACUUGUUACUCUAAGCAGAGGGAAAACAAAAUUACCAUUCCAUGCUUUGUGCAGCAAUGCUAUAUUUAACGUGGAAUAGAAUAAUUUGCAAUCUGGUCUGGAACACAGUUAAAGCAUUGAGCAGUUCAAAUAAUGAUUACUGAAGUCAGCAUUACUCAAAUCAGUUCUUGAAGUUUGCCAUCCAUGAUUUCCCAUUGAUAAAUAUCACUUAAUUCUUUCAAGUGCACUGAGGCAUAUGAAGCUGAGGUUUGACUAACUGCUGCUGUUGGAUUUGGUAUUGUCCAUGCAUAAACUUUUGUUCUAGGAUUUUCUUGUCCUCAUAAUUUAUUCACUGUGUUCCAGGAGGUUUUGAAUAUCAGAUCUUUGCCGAAGAAGAGGCCAACGUUUUUUGAAGAUAAGUUCAUUGGCUUUUAUAGCCUAGAAUAUACCUUAUCAACAUGGCUGCAUACAGUUAUACACUCAAGUAUCACUUGACGCAUUACAGAAAAUGCUCAGAAGCAUUUGUGCUCUUAAGUUAGAAUUAUCAUUGAACUAAAAUGUUCAUGGUAAUUCACAUUGAUGUAAAUCGUUACAGAUUUCAUGAAAUAAUUUGUGCCCAAUAAUCUUGAUCAGAAAUUCUGGAACCUCAGCAUUUCAAAUCUCAAUCUAUAUCCUUGGUUGAACAUGUUAAAAUAAGGUUGAUGUUUUCUGAAUUGUUGGCCAUUCAAUGCACAUUUGCAGAACUAGAACUAGUAUAGUGCCAAGCUGCAAGAACCAAUAGCAACUUUUCUCAAUAUUCUACCACAAGUAGAAUAAUAGUGACGUAUAUUUCAAAAUCCACUGAUAUAAUAAUGGGUUUGUCCAGCCAGUGCUAAAUGUUUUAUUCUGAAUUGUCUGAAUGUCAAUUGUAAUUUUCAUUGGAUUGGCCAUUGUUUUUCUAAUGCAGAAACACGUAAAUGAAGCUGAAGAAGAUGAACCAGUUCGGAAGUUAGAAAGUGCCCCUGCAAGAUUGGAAACAAACCACUGGAUAGCUUUCAGUGUUAAAAAUACAGUGGCAAAACCGUUGAAUCAAAAGUCACCAAAUGGCCCUGUAAA